rnacentral:lncRNA from 9 species
GGCGCAUUCAUGCCCAGGCCAUCUGUUUGUUUAAACUCACCCCAUGUUAGUCCAUGUUAAAUGCAACAGAAUGGAGAAAAAUGUAAUUCUCUGUCGGCUUUUGAUCAAAGAGAGGACUUUUUAAAAAAAUCCAAGAUGGAUUUCUGAAGGACAGUGUUAUACACAUUCCGCGUGUUUCUGAGCUUCAGUGUUUAGUUGAUUUGGGGGAAAUUUUUUUCCCCCUUUUGAUCCCAGGGAGAAAACACUCGCACAAACACAUCUCAGCACCACAAACAUCACAAGGGGGGCACUUUUCUACAGACUCCGCAGCUGAAAGGUGGAAGGAACUGCCUUUAAUUUAUCAACAGCCCAAGAGAAUUCGAAAUAGGGCUCAGCUGCUAUACGCAAACCCUUUGUAACUCUGUGGGAAUUCAGGGCAAAGUCCCUCUCGUUGGGGCAAGUUCAGGACCCAGGAUGCUCCCCCCUCUACCCUGCGCUCAGGAACACACGCAUCCAUGCUUGCUCCAUGAUCUGAUUUUCACAGCCGAUCAUGAAAUGUACAUUUCUCCCCUUACUCCCUGGGCUUCGGAGCAAAUGCAAAUAAAAAGUGCUUAAAAUGGUUAACAUUUCCUGUCACUUGAGGCAUUCGUUAGGGGUGGGGGUCGCUGAGUUUUAAAGUGUAUUUUCAUAGGAAAACUCAUUUCAGAUUUGCGGCAGGAACUAGGACCGUUUCACACAGAGAAUUUUUGGGUUUGUGAUAAGCCUGCGUCCAUUGCAGGCGGUCAAAUGAUCCUGUAUAUUAUGCGGGUGCAGGAGAGCAAAUAUCCAGAUUCAAACUGAGAUUAACCUGGGGCCCAGCUCAGGUCACAGGAAAAAAAAUUAAAAUAUGCCCUCUUUCCCCACCCUCUCCUCUGCUCAGUUUCUUCUGCUUUAUUUGAGGACCCCCCCAUUUGGUGCUUUAAUUUGUUGUGUUUCCUCUAUCGAUUGUUUAGCUGGUGAUUUUGCCAGCGUCCUGGAUGUUCGUUCUAGUCUGCCCAGAAGAGUCACAUUUCCUCCUGGAAUCGGGACCAGGACACAGACAGACCCGCAGACACGGGAAACGCCAGAUUUGUAUCAAGUGAGCCCCUGCGAAUUGAUCCGGAGAAAAUAUGAACUCGUCUGUCUCAAGGACUGUGGUUCGCUAGCAGACAGAGAGAGCUAUUGGAUACGUGGAAACCAGAGAAAAUAAAAUUAGUGAUUCUGGAAAGAGGUUCAUUCAGAUUUAUGCAGGCCCAGGAAGGUGAGUGUAUUAGAAUUCGCAUAAACAAAGCUGCGUCACUUGGCACCUUGGCUUAGGGAUAAUUUAAUUACCCCACCUAUUAACGCUGAUUUAUGUUUCUGCUCCGCCAACCUUCUUACGAUCUUGUUUAUUUCCAGAAAUCACUUUUGUGACAGCUCUAAUAGGCCAUUCAACUGGGAACGUUUUCUCAUUUAGUUGAAAAUAUUUCAGGUUUCAGACACACAACAAGGAAAAGCACUUUCAGACUUCAUGUAUGUGAAUAAUGUUUGGGGAGAGACUGUUUUAAGAAAAUGAAUUCAACCAGCAUAUUUGACCAAUUUCAGCCUAAAAUAUUAUGUUUCAAUUUGCCAAGCAGGUUGAUUGGACUUCAGCUGGCGCAAAGAUUCUGGGCUGUAUUCUUUCUUUUUUCUCUGAUGGGAGGGCAGAGAGCGGCCUUGGUGCCGUCUUUGCACGUGGGUUUGUGGACGAGCACGGAGGUCUGCUUGCCGGCAAGCAUGUCGGGCUGAACACUUCCUGCUGGGAGUGAUGGCGCGCUGUUGCAGAUUUUGAGUCCUGUAUUUGUAAACUUUCUACUUUUUGUUUUUUGAGAAAGUCAAGUUUGAUCUGUGCCGGCAAAGGUGUGUUGGCGGGGGGAGUAUGUACGUCCCUCUUCACAGCUGAAUGCAAUCAAAACGCUUGUUUUAUGUUGUGUUUUGGUUAAAAGGUAAAAGAGGAGAGAAAAAGACACCCAAACAAACCAGAAGAUGCAGUUAGCUUGGAGUCGUCAGCCCUAAACAGACAGUGCCUGGAGUAAAGCCCACGGGACACAAUGCAUUUUCUCUCCUGCUCCCCCACCACCCCGUGAAAUUCUUUGGAGGGAGACGGGGCAUCGUGGGGAUUGCAUUUAAGGGUCAGCUAACUUGUUUAAGCUGCAUGUCAGGAGAAAGAAGGCUGAGAUCCUUUGUGCAAACAAGCACUAGAAACUCAAAUCCCUGCCUGUCUCUCAGAAGCAGACCUGCAGGGUGUCUUCUGAGUGGUUUGGAGAAAUGAGGUUUGAGGCCACCUUUCAGUGGCCUUCAUCGCUGCCUCUGCACCGGAGGUGUCUGGGCAGGAGCUACGGGAGGCCCAAACAUUCCAGGCUGCUCUCCUCCAGGAAAGGGUCUGGGGAGCCCGGGGUGGGCCCGGGCUGCAGCGGAGGCUGGCUUGAUGAGGGGACGUGCCAUCCAUCCCAGAGCGGUGGGCUCGCCAGCACCCAGUCCCACAGCUCUGACGAUGCCAUGCUGCUGCCACAUCACACACACUCUUGGCACACUCUUCGAAGUCUAAUCUUGGACACUCAGUCGUAUGACAAAUUCCUAGUUUUUAUAAUUUUGUGAGUUGUCUCCCCAGCAGAGUCUGAGUGUCAUGAUCAUUCUGUACUUAGGAGAAGGUUGAUCUUUAUCCGGAGUCUGACCUUGCCAGGGGUUGCAUGGGAUAAGUGGGUGGUGCCUUCCAACGCCAUGAUGGGGUCGGAAACGUCAUUGUCCCCACUCGAGGACUGAGGAGUCUGAGUGGGUUUCCCAGGCAGCACAGCUCGUGUGCAGGGCUGGGGAGGACUGGGAUCUGAAUCCAGGCCAGGAGAUCUCAGCCCCCACGUUCUUAAGCAGUGGGAAUUCAGUAUUUGAGUGCUGGAGGGUGAGUGUGAGAGGCGGAGGUGAUGCCUGAGCCGAGGGUUUAGGUGGGUUGAGUUCAAAUAGGGCUCUGCCCUCACUCACCAGGGACCCUUGGGGAGUCUUUACAUUUCCCGAGCCUUGGUUUCCUCCUGCAUAAAAUGUAGCUGGUGAUCUUUCUUUUUCAGGUUGGGAGGAUUUGAGAUGGCGAAUGAAAAGACUGGGCCCUUAGCAUGUGCCGGAUGGAGGAGGGUUGGGUCAUGGCCUUCUGCGGGCCACUUCCUGGAGCCCAGGAACAAAGGGGCACGGGGGCCUCCUGGCAUCACAUCUUGGCCUCCUGUGACUGGGGCCACCCUAGGUGAGUCUCUUAAAUUGCUGGUCUUGCUUUUCUUUCCCAAUCCAGCUCCUGCCUCAAAGGCUUAAAGAGGGAGGGAAAGCUCAGCUGUAAUAAAUACGAAACGGGGGUCUGCUGGGCGUCCCCCUGUAGGAGCUCCCACUCCAUACCAGUGCUGCCUUGGGAAGCGAGGCCCCCAGACCAGCAUCCUCGGUAUCGCCAGGAGCCUGUUAGGCAGGCAGAGUCUCAGGUCCCACCCUGGCGUCCUCAGUCAGAACCAGGGCUUUACGUGGGUGUACUGGCCUGGAGCCCUUGGGAGACAGAGGCCACUGGUCUCCACGGAUGCCCCGCUCUGAGCCCGUCUGCCCUCAGCCCCCUCCCUCAUUCUCCCUGACCUGCUUUGGGCUGUGGGUGCCGAGAGGCUGCAUUUCCCAGGCUCAGGUUGGGUCCCCCGGCUCCUGACUGGGUCUCGCUAGUGAGGGUUGCUGGCGAGAGCUGAGAGGGAGGCUGGAAGAGGGAGAAACUGGGUACUCUCCCCUCCCUUCGGCUUUCUUCCCUCUUACCCCUCCUGCCCUCCCUCGCCCCCCGGACGUGGCGUAGCUCAGCAGUGGUGCUGCUACAGGGACAGGCUCUCACCAACCCUGGGCUCCCCUCUGGCUCUCUGGCCCUAGGGUGCCAGCAGCUUCCUGCCGAGGCUACUGAGCCUCUCCUAGGCUCCGCUGGUUGACCUCCCCCUUUUCCAUGGUCAGAACAAACAGUUCCACGUAUUGAAUUCUCUCUUUUAAAUACUCAGAGAAGUUUCUGUUUUUCUUGGUUGGGUCCAGCGGUCCACCCAGGCUCAUGCCCCAAGGGGAAGGGGUCUUGGAGUCAGAUGGUUUUGACAAGGGUUCCAGCUCUCCCACUGCCUCCUGCUGGACCCUGGACAAAUCACCCUUCCAUGGUCCAGGGGAGGACCCAGGCUCAGAGAGGCCCCCUUCUCCUCCACCCCAGUGCCUCCCCUGGCUCUAGGCCGGGCCUUCCUCACUGCAGCAGCUGGAUGCAUGAGUGGCUUCAGGUCCUCACUGCUUGAGGUGAAGCCCUCUGUGGAGGGCUUUGUGCCUCCUUCUACUAAGAGGUGGGUAGGUUUUCUUGUCUCUGGAGCUUUUUUUCACUGAGGGACUUGCUUUGGUCAAUAGGAUAUUAGCAGACUCAAGCAGAAGCUCGGAGAAACACUUAACUGUUUUCACCUGCACGCUGGUGCCCCGCUGUGCGUCUGUGCAGUGCCUGAGCUGCUGGCCUGAUGGAGGACGGGAGAUGCACGGAGAAGCCCAGUCACCGCGUCCAUCCCAGCAGAAGCACAGGUGUGUAAGUAGCACAGCCAGCGUCCGCAGGGCCACCAAGCUGACCUGUCCCGACACGGGGCAUAAAUACCACCCUCAAUGGGCUGUGAGCUUUUGUGUUUUUGUUGUAUGGCCUGAUGUGGUGGGAGCUGACUUCAUCCUGCCAGGAGAGGCGCAGCCCUCUUUGUACUGCCCCAGGGCAGGGGACCUGGUGUAGCAUGGCACCGGGAACCAGGUCUGUAGAGCCAGGAAGCCUAGACAGGGGCUCCAGCUCGGCCCCUCCCUACCCAGUGUCCUGGGGAAAGUCACUCCGAGUCUCUGGGCCUCAGGUGUGUCCUCUGUAGAAGGGGGCUGCUAAUAGGGCCACCUCCUGGGGGGUGUAGGGACUGAGCUGGAAGGUAGUUGGUGCUUGACAAACGUUAUCAUUAUUAUAAGCAGAGUUAGUGAUCCUUUUGCGUUAUAGAAACUACUGGCAACCACCGUCUGGCCUCAGCCUCCCUGACACGUGCACACACCUCGCCACUCCUCUUACAGCUCCUGCCCUGCCUCGGCGCCUCUGUACCUGCCGUCUCUUCUCCCCGAGGGCCAUGUGACUCUCCUGCAACUAGGGACUUGUCUCCUUUCCUCAAGGCUUAAGUGCCGGGGGAAACGGAAAGGAAUUCUCUGAGUAUUUCACUUCUCCCUCCUGUCCUCUUCGGGCUCUUCUUCAGUUCUUGGUCACCUGAGCUUAGCCGUCUUCCCUUCUCGAAGCCCGGGUGAUGAAACCCUCCCCUCCGCAUUCCCCAAGGGGUAGGAGGUGGAAGGAUGUGGCCUGUGGGGGAGAGACCCAGAGGUAGCAAAACGCGGCCUCACCGGGCCUCCCAGGCCUCCACGCCAGCUGCCUACACCCACUUGGUCCGUCGCUGCACAGGUAGCAAGUGUCCGUGGAGCCUGACUCUGUGCCUGGCGCUUGGGUGGCUUUGCGUUUAUGGCCGUGAACAAUUAGCGGGGUUAUUUCUCUCUCGGCCUCCAGUCCUCUGGGGAGACCGGGUGUGUGCUGGGCAGCCGCAGGCUACGGGGGAGCAUGGGAUGGGGC